GGGUCGUUAGCUCAGUCGGUAGAGCAGUUGGCUUUUAACCAAUUGGUCGCAGGUUCGAAUCCUGCACGACCCA
rfam:Nitrincola nitratireducens strain AK23 contig000003, whole genome shotgun sequence.